rnacentral:lncRNA from 1 species
GAGGGGGUUGUUGAUUUUUGUCCGUUAGAUAUGGGAAAUAUGUAAAACCUUAUCAUUAUAUAUAGGGUGGUGGGCAACUAUGCAAUGACCAUCUUGGAAGUUAAGGAAAAGGGAGAAAGAGAAAUCUUUCUGUCUAAAGUGUAAUUAGCAAUGGCUUCCUCUGUUCUUUCCUCUGCAGCAGUUGCCACUCGCACCAAUGUUGCUCAAGCUAACAUGGUUGCACCUUUCACUGGUCUUAAGUCAGCUGCCUCAUUCCCUGUUUCAAGGAAGCAAAACCUUGACAUCACUUCCAUUGCUAGCAAUGGUGGAAGAGUGCAAUGCAUGCAGGUAACUUAUAUACAUUCGACAAUUUUCUUUUUACAAUUAUUGUCAUAAUUAAAAGUUGUUUUUGGUGGAGUAUAGGUAUGGCCCCCAUAUGGCAAGAAGAAGUACGAAACUCUCUCAUACCUUCCCGAUUUAAGCGAGGAGCAAUUGCUUAGUGAAAUUGAGUACCUUUUGAAAAAUGGAUGGGUUCCUUGUUUGGAAUUCGAGACUGAGGUCAAUAAUUUUGCAUACUCCCUCUGUUUUAUGUGACUUUUUCUUUUUUAUAUUUGUUGUCCGAGAAAACAGACAUAUUUAGAAAAAAUUUAACUUUAAAAUUGCUUAAUAUGUGUAGCGCGGAUUUGUCUACCGUGAAAACAACAAGUCACCAGGAUACUAUGACGGCAGGUGAGUCACAAUUAUUUAGUUAAAUCAUGAAUAUAAAUGUUAAAUUUUAAAUCUUGAAUGCGCAGAUACUGGACCAUGUGGAAGCUGCCCAUGUUUGGGUGCACUGAUGCCACCCAAGUGUUAGCUGAGGUGGGAGAGGCGAAGAAGGCAUACCCAGAGGCCUGGAUCCGUAUCAUUGGAUUCGACAACGUGCGUCAAGUGCAGUGCAUCAGUUUCAUUGCCUACAAGCCUGAAGGCUACUAAGUUACAUAUUAGGACAACUUACCCUAUUGUCUUGUCUUUAGGGGUUGUGUUGUUUUAAUUUUUUUUUACUUCUUCCCACAAAAACUGUUUAUGUUUCCUUCUUUCUAUUCGGUGUAUGUUUUUCGAUUCCUACCAAGUUAUGAGACCUAAUAAUUAUGAUUUGGUGCUUUGUUUGUAUAAUAUUUUUGUUUCACAUUCUUGUGCCGUAUAUGAGUUUUAUUUUAGAUAACAUCCUAAAUGCAAAUGGUCCACACAUUCACCAGAAGCAUCCUCAUCCCAACCACUUCCAGAUGAUGAAAAUUUUCAAGAUAAUAGCUAGCUACAUUUUUUAUAUACAUUAAUAGCCUGUUUGGCCAAG